rnacentral:rRNA from 1 species
CCUACGGGAGGCAGCAGUCGAGAAUCAUUCACAAUGGGGGAAACCCUGAUGGUGCGACGCCGCGUGGGGGAAUGAAGGUCUUCGGAUUGUAAACCCCUGUCAUGUGGGAGCAAAUUAAAAAGAUAGUACCACAAGAGGAAGAGACGGCUAACUCUGUGCCAGCAGCCGCGGUAAUACGGAGGUCUCAAGCGUUGUUCGGAAUCACUGGGCGUAAGGGGUGCGUAGGCUGUUUCGUAAGUCGUGUGUGAAAGGCGCGGGCUCAACCCGCGGACGGCACAUGAUACUGCGGGACUAGAGUAAUGGAGGGGGAACCGGAAUUCUCGGUGUAGCAGUGAAAUGCGUAGAUAUCGAGAGGAACACUCGUGGCGAAGGCGGGUUCCUGGACAUUAACUGACGCUGAGGCACGAAGGCCAGGGGAGCGAAAGGGAUUAGAUACCCCUGUAGUC